AAAAUACACACAACAGAAAAUUUACCACUUUAACCAUUUUAAAGUGUACAAUUACAUGACAUUAGUACAUUUACAAUGUUGUGCAAUCAUCACCACUACCUAGUUCUAAAAUUUUCAACACCUCAAAAAGAGACCCCAUAGUAUCCACUAAUCAGUUAUUUCUCAGCAUCCCCACCCCACCCCCAGGCAACCACUAAUCUUCUGUCUCUAUGAAUUUAUGCAAGCUCUCUUAGUUCCUUCUUGUUUAAUGUACUAGGAUAAGACCCCUGAAGGAUUGCUGUUUCAGAAAGCAGCAGCUCCCUUGCUGCUCAAGGUUCUGCUAUAACAUGUUCACCUGGCUCCCCAGGGGACCACCUGCUAAAUAUCUAACUUAAGGGCAUGAGAGCUGGUGAAGAGUCAGUUCCUUCCCUCAAGCUAGCCAUUAUGACAGCAAUUGAAGAUACCUAAGAACAUCAACGCCCAUUAGAAGCUGUCCAGAUCUCUGUGGACAAGCCAGAAUUUCAGGAACAAAGAACAGUGGAAAAAACUGUCUUCCACAAAACCCAUCCUGGGUGCCAAAAACGUUGGGGGCUGCUGGAGAGAAUUGUCUCAGCUGAAGAAGUGUGUCUCACUGCCAUCCAGUGACUCGGAGGAUAAAGGAUCCCUCAUUCAGGCCAACUCAGAGCAGCUCUGAGGGAUGUGGAUCCUGAGAGCUUUCAUGCCUAAAUAAGCCUGACUGCUAAUCUCCCCCACAGAGUCUGCUGCCUGAGCAACACAACCUGUGACACAGCCAGCAGCUGUGGGAAGAGUGUAAGAUAAGGAGAACUGUUUCUAACAGGAUGGCACGGCGAGAAGGCUCUCUCACCAGAUGCCAGCCCCUCAGCCUUGGACUUCCUAACCACCAGAACUGGCAACCCGUUUCCAUGAAAACAGGACAGUGAGUAGUAGGAAGAAGAGUAUCAGUGGUGAUCUUUACCAUCAUUUAUCGGGAGCAAACUUGAAUUAGUUUCUUUGGGAGGAAAACUUCCUCUGAAGACUACAAGGAAGCGGAAGAUAGUACAGUCACUCAGGCAGUCCAAGGCAGGCAUGAGAUGGCCUUGUAAGAGAACACUGCCUCCUUGAAGACUGCCAUAAGCCAUGAGGAAUGUCUUCUAAAUCAGAAUCAUGUCCACACAACAAAGUUUUAUUAAUAGAAAAAAAAAUCUUUCAAAAAACAAAUCAAUAGCUGGUUUGCCGAUUAACUGCCUAGAAUCCCUGAUUUCCCACAUGAGUUCAUAUUAUGAAUCCACCAGAGAAUCCUUUCAAUACAACUUUGGUCAUUGGGAGGCACGGAAACAGCAUUGCCCAGGUCCUGCCACCUUCUGGCCAUGUGACCCUGGGUGAGUCCCUCCACCUGUCCUAACUUACUGUGCCUCUUCAGGGGAAUUUCACUGGUCAUGGAAAUGGACCAGUUUACAGCGAAUCCACUUAAGACAAAUCCUAAAAUUGCACACUAAACAGAAGAUGUUCAACUGGGACUCCAACUUAAAAAUAAAACCAAAAUCUUUUAAAAUAAGUUAUUUCUGUAUUAUUUUAGGGUAUUUUAAGUCUAUGCUAAUUCUACAAAGCAACAAGCAAUAAUUGAAGUAUGGUCAGUAUUUUUGGCAUACAUUUUCCUAAAAAAAAAAAAAGCAAGAUUUUUCUUUUUUUUCAUAUUUGACUUUCACAGAUGGUCAAUAACAGGGUCAUCUUUUAAAAAAUAUUUAAGAGUAAUAAAAAUUUCUCUAAAGUCCUCUCAUAAUCCUUCGGGUAAACAUUUACCUUGAAAGAGCUUAUUGUGUUUAAUCCUCAGUGCUUCUCUCUUCUUCAAUUGUUAACUGAAUAUUCAGACAGAUCCUUAUUUGCUUAUAAUUCAAGUAUGUUUUUAACACAGCUUUCAACAACUUCAUGAAAUCAUCAUCUUUACUAUAAUUGGUAAUUUUACUUCAAAACUACAGAAUUUGAUUUAUUUGAUUUAUUUUUGUUUGUAUCAUUUGAUUUAUUUGUAAAAUUUAUUUUUGUUUGUAUCAUUUGAUGUUUAUAAUAUCUAUUAAUUAUCAUAGACCAACAAAAAUAUUGAUAUGAUAGAUGGGAAAACAAGAGGGUAAGAAUUCUUGAGUGGGGAUAAUUUUAAAGUGGCCAAUUCACUAAUGAAUAUUUUCUUGUAAAGACAAUUUUUGCUCCUCUCUGCAACCUCAAAAUUACACGGCCUUGGAUAACCUCCCAUCCUCACCCGAUCUCUCCCCCUUUAGGUCUUUCCACAAAUUUCACCUCAACAAAGCCUUUUGUGAAAUUCUUAUAUAAAACUGCAAUUCAAUUCUAACCCCAUGUACACUCACUCCAUUUAUCCUUUUUCUGCUGAUUUCUUUCCAGCACUUACCAAUACCAAACAUACAGGCAUACCCCACAUAUAUUGUGGGCUUGGUUCCAAACCACCAUAAUGAAGCAAAUAGCAAAAUAAAGUCAGUCACGUGAUUUGUUUCCAGGGGAUACAGAAGUUAUGUUUACAUUAAACCAUAGUCUAUUAAGUGUGCAAUAGAAUUAUGCUUAAAAAUCAAUGUACAUAUCUUAAUUUAAAGAUACCUUAUGGCUAAACAUACUAACAAUUAUCUAAGCCUUCAGUGAGUUCUAAUCUUUUUGCUGGUGAGGGCCUUGCUUCAACGUUGACAGCUGCUGACUGAUCAGGGUGGUGGUUAUUGAAAGGUAGGGUGACACAGCAAUUUUUAAAAAUAAGACAACAAUAAAGUUUCCCUCAUUGACAGACUCUUCCUUUCAUGAAAGAUUUCUCUACAGCACCUGACACUGUUUGAUAGCAUUUUAUCCACAGUAGAACUUCUUUUAAAAUUGGAGUCACUCUUCUCAAACUCUGCCACUGUUUUAUCAACUAAGUUAAUGUAAUAUCCUAAAUCAUUUGUUGUCAUUUAAACAAUGUUCAUAGCAUGUUCACCAGGCAUAGAUUUCAUCUCAACAAACCACUGUCUUUGCUCAUCCAUAAAAAGCAACUCCUCAUCCAUUGAAGUUUUAUCAUGAGAUAGCAGCAAUUCAGUCACAUCUUCAGGCUCCACUUACAAUUUUAGUUCUCUUGCUAUUUCCACCUCAUCUUCAGUGACUUCCUCCACAGAAGCCUUGAACCCCUCAAGGUCAUCCAUGAGGGCUGGAAUCAACUUCUUCCAAACUGCUGUUAAUGUGGAUAUUUUGACCUUUUUUCAUGAAUCAUGAAUCUUCUUAAUGGAGUCUAGAAUAGUGAAUCCUUUCCAGAAGGGUUUCAAUUUACUUUUCCCAGAUCCCUCAGAGGAAUCACUACCCAUGGCAGCUAUAUCCUUAUGAAUCCAAUUCUUAUAUAAUAAAACAUGAAAGUCAAAACUACACUUUGACCUACGGGUUGCAGAAUGUAUGUUGUCUUAGCAGCCAUGAAAAUAACAUUAAUCUCCUUGUACAUCUCCAGUGGAGCUCUUGAAUAACCAGGUGUAUUGUCAAUGAGCAGUAAUAUUUUGAAAGGCAUCUUUUUUUUCUGAGCGGUAGAUCUCAACAGUGGACUUAAACUACUCAGUAAACCAUGCUAUAAACAUAUGCUGUCAUCCGUGCUUUGCUAUUACAUUUCUAGAGCACAGGCAGAGCAGAUUCAGCAUAAUUCUUAAAGGUCCUAGGAUUUUCAGAAUGGUGAAUGAGCAUUGGCUUCAACUUCAAGUCACCAGCUGCAUUAGCCCCUAACAAGAGAGUCAGUCUGUCCUUUGAAACUUUGAAGCCAGGCAUUGACUUCUCCUCUCUAACUAUGAAAAUCCUAGAUGGCAUCUUCUUCCAAUAGAAGGCUGUUUUGUCUCUAUUGAAAAUCUAUUAUUUUAUGUAGCCACCUUCAUGAUGUUACCUCGAUCUUCUGGACAAGUUGCUGCAGCUUCUGCAUCAGCACUUGCUGCUUCCCUUUGCACUUUUAUGUUAUGAAGAUUGCUUCUUCACACCUCAUAAACCAACCUCUGCCAGCUUCCAACUUUUCUUCUAUAGCUUCCUCAUCUCUUUCACACUUCAAGAAUUGAAAAGAGUUAGGGCCUUGCUCUGAAUUUGACUUUGGCUUAAGGGAAUGCUGUGACUGGCUUGAUCUUCUACCCAGACCACUCACACUUUCUUCAUGUUUUCAAUAAGGUUGUUUCACUCUCUUAUCAUUUGCAUGCUCACUAGAAUAACAUUUUUAACUGCCUUCAAGAGCUUUUCCUUUGCAUUCACAACUUGGCUGUUUGGCAAAAGUGGCCUAGCUUUCAGCCUGUCUUGGCUUUGGACAUGUCUUCCUCACUAAACUUAAUCAUAUCUAGCUUUUGAUAAAAAGUGAGAGAUGUGCAAAUUUUCCUUUUACUUGAACACUUAGAGGCCACUGUAGGGCUAUAAAUCAGCCUAAUUUCAAUAUUGUUGUGUCUCAGAGAAUAGGGGGGCCUGAGGAGAGGGACAGAGAUGAGGGAACGGCAUGCUGAUGGAGCAGUCUGAGCACGCAUGACAUUUAGUGAUUAAGUUCAUUGUCAUUCAUGGGCACAGUUCAUGGUGCUCCCAAUUAUAAUAGUAACAUCAAAGAUCCAAUGUCACAGAUUACUAUAACAGAUGUAAUGAUAAUGAAAAACUUAGAAAUAUUGCAAGAAUUACCAAAAUAUAACAGAGAUUCAAGUGAGCACAUGCUGUUAGAAAAAUGGUGCCACUAGACUUGUUCCAUGCAGGGUUGCCCAAACCUUCAACUUCUUAAAACACACACACACACACACACACACACACACACAUAUACACACUAUGCAGCCAUAAAAGAGAAUGAGUUCAUGCCUUUGCAGGGACAUGGAUGAAGCUAGAAACCAUCAUCCUCAGCAAACUAACAUAGGAACAGGAAACCAAACACUGCAUGUUCUCACUCAUAAGUGGGAGUUGAACAAUGAGAACACAGGGACACAGGGAGGGGAACAUCACACACUGGGGCCUGUUGGGGUGGUGGGGGUGGGGGGCAAGAGGAGGGAGAGCAUUAGGACAAAUUCCUAAUGCAUACAGGGCUUAAAACAUAGAUGAUGGGUUGAUAGGUCCAGCAAACCACCAUGGCAAAUGUAUACCUAUGUAACAAACCUUCAUAUUCUGCACAUGUAUCCCAGAACUUAAAGUAAAAUUAAAAAAAAACAUACAAAUGCAAUAUCUACAAAGAGCAAUAACAUAAAG
rnacentral:lncRNA from 10 species